rnacentral:rRNA from 1 species
GACGAACGCUGGCGGCGUGCUUAACACAUGCAAGUCGAACGGAAAGGCCCUGCUUUUGUGGGGUGCUCGAGUGGCGAACGGGUGAGUAACGCGUGAGUAACCUGCCCUUGACUUUGGGAUAACUUCAGGAAACUGGGGCUAAUACCGGAUAGGAGCUCCUGCUGCAUGGUGGGGGUUGGAAAGUUUCGGCGGUUGGGGAUGGACUCGCGGCUUAUCAGCUUGUUGGUGGGGUAGUGGCUUACCAAGGCUUUGACGGGUAGCCGGCCUGAGAGGGUGACCGGCCACAUUGGGACUGAGAUACGGCCCAGACUCCUACGGGAGGCAGCGGUGGGGAAUAUUGCACAAUGGGCGGAAGCCUGAUGCAGCAACGCCGCGUGCGGGAUGACGGCCUUCGGGUUGUAAACCGCUUUCGCCUGUGACGAAGCGUGAGUGACGGUAAUGGGUAAAGAAGCACCGGCUAACUACGUG